CCUACGGGUGGCAGCAGUGGGGAAUAUUGGGCAAUGGGCGAAAGCCUGACCCAGCAACGCCGCGUGAAGGAAGAAGGCUUUCGGGUUGUAAACUUCUUUUGACAGGGAAGAGCAGAAGACGGUACCUGUCGAAUAAGCCACGGCUAACUACGUGCCAGCAGCCGCGGUAAUACGUAGGGGGCAAGCGUUAUCCGGAUUUACUGGGUGUAAAGGGAGCGUAGACGGUUAUGUAAGUCUGGAGUGAAAGCCCGGGGCCCAACCCCGGGACUGCUUUGGAAACUGUGUAACUGGAGUACAGGAGGGGCAGGCGGAAUUCCUGGUGUAGCGGUGAAAUGCGUAGAUAUCAGGAGGAACACCGGCGGCGAAGGCGGCCUGCUGGACUGAAACUGACGUUGAGGCUCGAAAGCGUGGGGAGCAAACAGGAUUAGAUACCCCAGUAGUC
rnacentral:rRNA from 1 species